rnacentral:lncRNA from 1 species
GCUCCCGCGACUCCGCUGCGGGUCUGCACACCCGAGGACUCGGUUUGAAACGCCCGCUUAUUUAUUUUCUUGUCGCCUCGCUACAAGAUUCUAUCCUUGUUUGGGCAUGAGUGGGGGGCGGCAGUCUCGUGGGACCGGCGGCAUUCGUCGUUCCUCCUUACGGGGAUAAUUCGAGAAGUGCGGUCCGGGGGUACUUAACCGAAACUAGCAAUCCCAGGCGGUACAAGGCCCUCCAUCGUAGGCAAAGCACUACCUGAAUGUAGAUUUGGGCCAUACGUUGGAAAAUAAGACAUGAGAGUAUGCUCCGAUCAACUUUUACUGUUCACUGGACAACUAUUUUGGGAAUUUGCAGACCUAUAAAGCCCAUCUAUAAAUCUCAAGCAUGUCCACUUUCAGAGAAGAGAAAUGCUGACAACCAUUUAGUCUCUGAGGACAACACUUUUAAAGUGUAACAAUGUGGCAUCCAGAGCUUAUCCAGAUGAGCGGAGAGCAAAUGAAUUUCCUUCUGCUCCCCUGUUGAAGAGGAGAGAAAAAUUCUUCAAGCUGACUCCAUCAUAGGACUGGAGAGAGAUUGGAUGUCAGAGUGAUUGAUGUGCUCCUACUGGAAGAAGGCAAACAUCCAUAUGUGAACUGCCUGUGGGGUUUCCAAGGAAAGGAACGGCAGGCAGCCUCUAUGAGCUUAAAGAAGAUAACUGGGACUUUAGUCCUAUAACCUCAAGGAACAGUAUUCUGUGAACCAUCUGAGAAGCUUGGAAGAGGACCCCAAACUCCAAAUAAGAAGCUCAGUGUGUCUGACACCUUGACUGCAGGCUUGGGAGGUCCUGAGCAGAAGAUCCAGUUCAACAGUGCCUGGACUCCUGAUCCACAAAAACUGAUAACAAAUAUUUAUUGUUUUAAGAUGCUAAGUUUGUAGUCAUUUUUUAUACAGCAACAGAAAACUAAACACACACAUAAACAGUUAUAAGUGCUCACUGUAUAUGAGGCUUUUCAUUAAUAAUCUAUAUUUUAUAAUAGAAUUAGAAUAUAGAUCUGUGAAGCUGAAGACACUCAAUCCUUGCUAGAUUUAAAUCAGGAAAAUCAGCUGAGAAUCAUUCCUUGAUAGAACCUGGAAAACAAGACCCUAUGAGAGACCCUGGGAAUUACAUUAAAUUCACUGUGGUUCCCAGUGUCACUGAAGAGGUUUUCCUUUCAUAGUCAGGUAGUCACCAUACUGUUAAGCAUUUGAACACAUGGGCAACUUCCAGAAUAGUUAUGACAUUGAUAUACCAAUCUCCAAAAUUCCUAGAAUACCAUGUUUUCAUGGUUGACCUUCAAAUCAGUCAGUUCUUUGUAACAUUGAGCCAUAAAGAUAGGGCAAAUACUUAAUGUUUUACAUAUAUUCAGAGAUUGACCCUCAAAAUACAGCCCAGAGAAACUCAAAAGAAUUAACUCUAUUUCUUCAAAUUGUGUGACGCCACCAAGGCCAGAUGACUUCAGCAUUGGGAAGGCAAUAUCCAGCUGUCAUCUUCUUGAUCCUCAUAUGCUACUACUAGCAUCUAGCAUUUACUGAGCAGAUAGUUUUAUUGUCCAGUUUUUAAAGAUAAGAAAAUUGAGGUAUUAGGAAAGUUAAGUUGGUUGCCUAGGGAAACACGAAGAUAUAGCCCAGAUUCACUCCCAGGCAGGCAGAUGCCAGUGUCUGCUCUCUUUACCACCGAAAUAUCCUGCUACAUGUACAAUUUCAAUAAAUAUCUGGACUUACUGGAACAAAACAAA